CGGGGUGGAUUAGUGGCGAACGGGUGAGUAACACGUGGGCAAUCUGCCCUUCACUCUGGGACAAGCCCUGGAAACGGGGUCUAAUACCGGAUAACACUCUGUCCCGCAUGGGACGGGGUUAAAAGCUCCGGCGGUGAAGGAUGAGCCCGCGGCCUAUCAGCUUGUUGGUGGGGUGAUGGCCUACCAAGGCGACGACGGGUAGCCGGCCUGAGAGGGCGACCGGCCACACUGGGACUGAGACACGGCCCAGACUCCUACGGGAGGCAGCAGUGGGGAAUAUUGCACAAUGGGCGAAAGCCUGAUGCAGCGACGCCGCGUGAGGGAUGACGGCCUUCGGGUUGUAAACCUCUUUCAGCAGGGAAGAAGCGAAAGUGACGGUACCUGCAGAAGAAGCGCCGGCUAACUACGUGCCAGCAGCCGCGGUAAUACGUAGGGCGCAAGCGUUGUCCGGAAUUAUUGGGCGUAAAGAGCUCGUAGGCGGCUUGUCACGUCGGAUGUGAAAGCCCGGGGCUUAACCCCGGGUCUGCAUUCGAUACGGGCUAGCUAGAGUGUGGUAGGGGAGAUCGGAAUUCCUGGUGUAGCGGUGAAAUGCGCAGAUAUCAGGAGGAACACCGGUGGCGAAGGCGGAUCUCUGGGCCAUUACUGACGCUGAGGAGCGAAAGCGU
rnacentral:rRNA from 1 species